ACUCAAAUGAAUUGACGGGGGAGCGCACAACCGGUGGAGCAUGUGGUUUAAUUCGAUACAAAGCGAAAAACCUUACCUAGGUUUGACAUGUACCUGCACGGGCUAGGAAACUAGCUCUUCUUCGAGAGUGGUACACAGGUGAUGCAUGGCUGUCGUCAGCUCGUGUCGUGAGACGUCCGCUUAAGUGCGGUAACGAGCGCAACCCUUAUCGUCAGUUACAAGUGUCUGACGAGACUGCCCUGGCUUUGCCAGGGAGGAAGGAGAGGACGACGUCAAGUCAGCACGUCCCUUACAUCUAGGGCUACACACAUCCUACAAUGGAGCCGACAACAGGUUUUGCAAUACCGCAAGGUGGAGCCAAUCCUUAAACGGCCCCUCAGUUCAGAUUGAGGGCUGCAACUCGCCCUCAUGAAGUUGGAAUCGGUAGUAAUCGCAAAUCAGCAGGUUGCGGUGAAUACGUUCUCGCUCCUUGUACACACCGCCCGU
rnacentral:rRNA from 1 species